rnacentral:rRNA from 1 species
GUACUGUGCAAACGUUAUUCGGAAUCACUGGGCUUAAAGGGUGCGUAGGCGGCUAUUCAAGUCGGAUGUGAAAUCUCUCGGCCUAACCGAAGAAUUGCGUUCGAAACUGAAUGGCUUGAGUGAGAUAGGGGUGUGCGGAACUUCCAGUGGAGCGGUGAAAUGUGUUGAUAUUGGAAGGAACGCCGGUGGCGAAGGCGGCACACUGGGUCUCAACUGACGCUGAGGCACGAAAGCCAGGGGUAGCGAACGGGAUUAGAUACCCCGGUAGUCCUGGCUGUAAACGAUGAGUACUAGACGGGAGGAAUUUCGGUUUCUCCGGUCGCAGCGAAAGCAAUAAGUACUCCGCCUGGGGAGUAUGGUCGCAAGGCUG